rnacentral:lncRNA from 10 species
ACUAAAACUGGCUGGAGUCAGGUAUUUCCCUUUUACCACCUGAGCUAGGCACUGAUAAAACCCCAGUAGGUUAGGGUUUUGUUAAAUAAUUUCUCUUGAGGGCAGACCUUGGUAAAAAGAAUAGAGUGCUGUGAUGUACUUCAAAAGGGUUCUUCUUCUUCCUCUGGCAGAAGCAAGAGGAUAUUUUCUCUGAUAUUUACUGUGAGAACCUAGUUCAGUUCCUGGAGAUAAAACUCACAAAAUUGUGGGGAUCCCCAUAUGACUGACCACCCCCUGCUGCCUCCAGAGUUUUAAAGUCUCAGAUUGGUCCACACUGUGCUGCUAGCAAUUCAUCAAUUUCAGAUUCUCCAUUUUACCUCCUUCAGAGACUCCUCCACCAGUUGUAUGCCCGUGAGAUGACAAAGAAAGGGAUGUGGGAGUUCUUUAAACAAAUCUUCAAUUAGUCCUGUUUUCAGCCCACGUUUCCCUUGCUGUGAGAAGGACAUGGCAAUGUAAAUUCCUGAGGCUUUAUGCCCCCAUUUAAAGUUUUCUUGACAUGAAGAUCCUAGAGGCAUUUUCUUCAGAACUGAACCAGGGGUAAUCAGUCUCUGUAGGGGAUCACAGCAAACUGCUUCAAGAAAAGCUUCAGGAGUCGCCUGUGUCUUCCCACAACACCUGCUGUCACAGGACUGAUAUUUCUUAACAAGCCCUGCCUCUCCACCCCUGCCUCCAAGACCAGGACUCCGCCCCAUCAGCUGGCCCCUGUGACAUGCUCCCCCAACCCCAAUUAAUUCUUCCUACUGCACUCAAAAAGACAUCGCCACAAGGAAAGGAGACAUUUAUAUAAUUAUUUUUCCUGUACUGUUGGUGCGAAGCCAGUUACCAGGCACUGUGCAGGUAACCCAUGAAUAUCUCUUGAAUUUGCUGAAUCAUAAACUGUCAUCAAAGAGACACAAACCAACUUAGCUCAGCCCACUGAUGGUCUCGAUUGAGUGAUCCUAUAAAAAUAUCAUUAUUUCCUCACUUUUGAGUUGUCCACAUGAGAAAAUGUGGUUAGAGGAAAGCCUUUUUAUUCAACAUGAUCAGGAUGGAUAGCUGGUUGUUUAAGCAAAUAAAAUCUGUUAAUGUAAGAACUCACAAAUACAAAAAUGUAUUUCUCCCUUAUUCAUUUAACCUAACGUAUAUAAAUAUAUGUCCAUUUACCAAUCUUUUUAGGUAGGGC